GGGCCCAUAGCUCAGUUGGCUAGAGCUACCGGCUCAUAACCGGUUGGUCGUAGGUUCGAGUCCUACUGGGCCCA
rnacentral:tRNA from 1 species